UAACAAGGUUUCCGUAGGUGAACCUGCGGAAGGAUCAUUGCACACACGAGGAGCAAACCCACGGCGAACGCAACAUUGUCCCCCCAUCUUCAUUGGGUUGGGGUGGGCGCAUCGUGUCCCGCGCGUCCCCCACGGGGGGCGCGCGAGCACCUUGUCGUCCCCCCCGACUCGGUUGGCGCGAUGCACAAAUCACUCGAACGUGACUGAGUCCCUGUGAGAUCUAUUCUUACUUUCGGCGGGGGGGGGGCUGUUCCUCCUCCCCGCCCGAGUUGAAUGAUUUUCGUGGUCGUAAGUAACCGAAAACACAACUCUCAGCAACGGAUAUCUUGGCUCCUGCAACGAUGAAGAACGCAGCGAAAUGCGAUACGUAGUGUGAAUUGCAGAAUUCCGCGAAUCAUCGAGUCUUUGAACGCAAGUUGCGCCCGAGGCUUGUCCGAGGGCAUCUCCGCCAGAGCGUCACCGCGCGCCCCCACCGAGUCACACCGUCUCUUCGGACGACGGUGGAACUUGCGUGAAAGUGUGCCCGUCCCGACUCACGAGUCCGGGUCGGGUGAAAUGGAGGGAAUUCGGCCGGCGUGGUGACGCGGUCCGCGAUCAGGUGAUCCGUAAAAGGAAACGUGCGCGGCCGCGUCGCCCGGUUCGGCGAGAGCGAAUUCCGAAGCAGGUCCUCCCUCCCCCGCGCCGCCGGGGGAGGGAAGCAAGUGACGCAUCGGACCUCUGAUCGGAGAAGACCACCCGCUGAGUUUAAGCAUAUCACUA
rnacentral:sRNA from 1 species